AAUCCGUCUACUCUAAUGCAGUAUAAUGUAUUUACAUAAUUAUAUUGGCUCGCUUGUAGACAAGAGAAAAACAAGAUUUUAUUAUCCUAGCAAUAAUCUUUUACCUUUCAUGGCUGGAUUAUUGCUCGAGAAACGUAAAAUCACAAAA